CACUGGCGGGGGGCUCCCACGCUUGUCUUCAAGCUGGAUUUCGCCAAGGCGUUCGACUCCAUCGCAUGGCCGAGCCUUCGCCGAAUCAUGGAGGUCCGGGGGUUCCCGGCUCUCUGGUGUGACUGGAUGGACAUCAUCCUCCGUUCCACUAAGGCCGCGGUCCUUCUCAACGGCGUGUCGGGGCGCUGGUUCGCGGUCCGGAACGGGCUGCGCCAGGGGGAUCCCAUCUCCCCUUACCUGUUCCUCCUGGUCGCGGACGUCCUCUAGCGCAUGAUC
rnacentral:rRNA from 1 species